GAUGAACGCUGGCGGCGUGCCUAAUACAUGCAAGUCGAGCGAACGGACGAGAAGCUUGCUUUUCUGAUGUUAGCGGCGGACGGGUGAGUAACACGUGGAUAACCUACCUAUAAGACUGGGAUAACUUCGGGAAACCGGAGCUAAUACCGGAUAAUAUUUUGAACCGCAUGGUUCAAAAGUGAAAGACGGUCUUGCUGUCACUUAUAGAUGGAUCCGCGCUGCAUUAGCUGGUUGGCAAGGUAACGGCUUACCAAGGCAACGAUGCAUAGCCGACCUGAGAGGGUGAUCGGCCACACUGGAACUGAGACACGGUCCAGACUCCUACGGGAGGCAGCAGUAGGGAAUCUUCCGCAAGGGGCGAAGACCUGACGGAGCGACGCCGCGUGAGUGAUGAAGGUCUUCGGAUCGUAAAACUCUGUUAUUAGGGAAGAACAUAUGUGUAAGUAACUGUGCACAUCUUGACGGUACCUAAUCAGAAAGCCACGGCUAACUACGUG
rnacentral:rRNA from 1 species